GGUUAAGCGACUAAGCGUACACGGUGGAUGCCCUGGCAGUCAGAGGCGAUGAAGGACGUGCUAAUCUGCGAUAAGCGUCGGUGAGGUGAUAUGAACCGUUAUAACCGGCGAUUUCCGAAUGGGGAAACCCAGUGUGUUUCG
rnacentral:rRNA from 1 species